AUUAAAAGAGAGAGAGAAAAAGUAAAAAUAAAAUAGAAAUACUGAUACCCUGGUACAAUUAUGUGUAAUUAUUUCACGAGAGCCAUUAUUUUGUGAAACACCGUGUGCAACAUACGGGUCCCGUUGCUAGAUCAAUAAUAAUCAUGGCUUCUAUUCGAGUCUCCUUAUUCAUUAUUCUCUACAUAUUCUCCGUCGGUCUGACUCUGUUGGUACAUUGCAGACGACAUGAUGACGAAGAGGAAGAGAAGAAAAAAAUGUCAUGUACAUAUUUUGAUCCACGCAGAUUUCCUGAACCACAGCAUGGUCUGGUUAACUGCUCUUGGUAUGCCCCAAAUGCAUGUUGCAAGCGGACCGAAGUGACAUCUGUGUUCAGUAACAUGUACCCUUUAUAUGGGGCAUCUAAAGCUUGUAUGAACCGUAUGAAUUACUUAAUGUGCUACUUCUGUAGUCCAGAACAGGGUAUUUGGUACCAUGGUAAAAUGAGUGUAUGUGAAGAAUACUGCGUUGAUAUUUACAAUGAAUGUCGACUAGCUUCCUAUGAAGGAACCUCUAUAGUUUAUGCAGCCAGUAUCUAUCUCCUUGGGAUUUAACACCUAGACUGACUGAGAGAGACCUGUAUCUCAUUUAAGUAAGAUGCUACAUACUAAAUAUUUCUCUUUUUUUUUUCUUCUAAGGGCAAAAAAUCUGAAUUCAAUGAAUUAUAUAAAAAAACUCUUUUUCAUCUUCACAUAACUGAAACUCAUAUGAGAGUAUGUUUUUUUUUUUUAUAAAAAAUUAAUUAAUACAGUUAAUAAGUCAUAUUAAUGAUACUGAACAACCAAACUAUUUACUUUGAUAGUUCAGUAUCCUUAUCAAUCCAUACAAUCCUUCAUGAUGAAGGACAACAUCCUAUUGUAUACAGCCCUUCAUGAGAAAGGACUGUGUCCUAUUCCAAAUAACUUCUCGCACUAAGCGAUAUUGUCUUCUUCCAUACAGCCCUUCACAGUAAAGGAUAUUGUUCUAUUCUACACAGUCCUCCACACCGAAAGACACAGUGUCCUAUUCCACCACUCUUCACUCUCUAAAAUUCCAUGUAUCUUUUUUUUUUUUUUUUUUUCCUUACUGUUCCAACUAUUUUAUGUCAACAAAUAUUUAUACUAUCUUCUUUAUUUAAACCACGCAUUAAAAUUUAAUACUCACCUUUACAGUAUUUCAUAGUCUUUAUAUAUUACAUAUGUGUGUUUGUGUUUGCAUAUAUGUGUGUGUGUAUGAGUCUCUGUAUGUGUGCGUGUGCAUGCAUGCAUGAGUGUGUGUGUGUGUAUGAGAAGAGUGUGUGU
rnacentral:misc_RNA from 1 species